CGGGGCGUGGCGCAGUUUGGUUUAGCGCGCUUGAAUGGGGUUCAAGAGGUCGACAGUUCAAGUCUGUCCGCCCCGACCA
rnacentral:tRNA from 1 species